GACGAACGCUGGCGGCGUGCUUAACACAUGCAAGUCGAACGGAAAGGCCUCUUUCGGGGGGUACUCGAGUGGCGAACGGGUGAGUAACACGUGAGUAACCUGCCCUUGACUUUGGGUUAACUUCCGGAAACUGGGGCUAAUACCGGAUAGGAGCUCCUGCUGCCUGGUGGGGGUUGGAGAGUUUCGGGGGUUGGGGGUGGACUCGCGGCGUAUCAGCUUGUUGUUGGGGAGGUGGCUUACCAAGGCUUUGACGGGUAGCCGGCCUGUGAGGGUGAGCGGCGACACUGGGACUGAGGUACGGCCCAGACUCCUACGGGAGGCAGCAGUGGGGAAGAUUGCACAAUGGGUGGAAGCCUGAUGCAGCAACGCCGUGUGCGGGAUGACGGUCUUCGGGUUGUAAACCGCUUUCGCUCAUGACGAAGCUUUGUGUGACGGUAGUGGGUAAAGAAGCACCGGCUAACUACGUG
rnacentral:rRNA from 1 species